AGUGAACGCUGGCGGUAGGCCUAACACAUGCAAGUCGAACGGCAGCACAGUAAGAGCUUGCUCUUACGGGUGGCGAGUGGCGGACGGGUGAGGAAUACAUCGGAAUCUACUUUUUCGUGGGGGAUAAUGUAGGGAAACUUACGCUAAUACCGCAUACGACCUACGGGUGAAAGAAGGGGAUCUUCGGACCUUGCGCGAUUGAAUGAGCCGAUGUCGGAUUAGCUAGUUGGCGGGGUAAAGGCGCACCAAGGCGACGAUCCGUAGCUGGUCUGAGAGGAUGAUCAGCCGCACUGGAACUGAGACACGCUCCAGACUCCUACGGGAGGCAGCAGUGGGGAAUAUUGGACAAUGGGCGCAAGCCUGAUCCAGCCAUACCGCGUGGGUGAAGAAGGCCUUCGGGUUGUAAAACCCUUUUUUUGGGAAAGAAAAGCAGCAGGUUAAUACCCCGCUGUUCUGACGGUACCCAAAGAAUAAGCACCGGCUAACUUCGUG
rnacentral:rRNA from 1 species